rnacentral:rRNA from 1 species
UAAGCGACUAAGCGUACACGGUGGAUGCCCUGGCAGUCAGAGGCGAUGAAGGACGUGCUAAUCUGCGAUAAGCGCCGGUAAGGUGAUAUGAACCGUUAUAACCGGCGAUUUCCGAAUGGGGAAACCCAGUGUGACUCGUCACACUAUCAUUAACUGAAUCCAUAGGUUAAUGAGGCGAACCGGGGGAACUGAAACAUCUAAGUACCCCGAGGAAAAGAAAUCAACCGAGAUUCCCCCAGUAGCGGCGAGCGAACGGGGAGGAGCCCAGAGCCUGAAUCAGCAUAUGUGUUAGUGGAAGCGUCUGGAAAGGCGCGCGAUACAGGGUGACAGCCCCGUACACAAAAGCGCAUGUGCUGUGAGCUCGAUGAGUAGGGCGGGACACGUGGUAUCCUGUCUGAAUAUGGGGGGACCAUCCUCCAAGGCUAAAUACUCCUGACUGACCGAUAGUGAACCAGUACCGUGAGGGAAAGGCGAAAAGAACCCCGGCGAGGGGAGUGAAAAAGAACCUGAAACCGUGUACGUACAAGCAGUGGGAGCCCCACCACUAAGCCAGUGGUGAACUCCACAUACGCAUCCUUUGCUGAGGAUACGGUUAACGGAGCGAAAGCGACGUUCAACCUCAAAAGAAGCAGAGGGGGCUUAGUGGUGGGGUGACUGCGUACCUUUUGUAUAAUGGGUCAGCGACUUAUAUUCUGUAGCAAGGUUAACCGAAUAGGGGAGCCGGAGGGAAACCGAGUCUUAAUUGGGCGUUAAGUUGCAGGGUAUAGACCCGAAACCCGGUGAUCUAGCCAUGGGCAGGUUGAAGGUUGGGUAACACUAACUGGAGGACCGAACCGACUAAUGUUGAAAAAUUAGCGGAUGACCUGUGGCUGGGGGUGAAAGGCCAAUCAAACCGGGAGAUAGCUGGUUCUCCCCGAAAGCUAUUUAGGUAGCGCCUCGUGAAUUCAUCUCCGGGGGUAGAGCACUGUUUCGGCUAGGGGGCCAUCCCGGCUUACCAACCCGAUGCAAACUGCGAAUACCGGAGAAUGUUAUCACGGGAGACACACGGCGGGUGCUAACGUCCGUCGUGAAGAGGGAAACAACCCAGACCGCCAGCUAAGGUCCCAAAGUCAUGGUUAAGUGGGAAACGAUGUGGGAAGGCCCAGACAGCCAGGAUGUUGGCUUAGAAGCAGCCAUCAUUUAAAGAAAGCGUAAUAGCUCACUGGUCGAGUCGGCCUGCGCGGAAGAUGUAACGGGGCUAAACCAUGCACCGAAGCUGCGGCAGCGACGCUGAUGCGUUGUUGGGUAGGGGAGCGUUCUGUAAGCCUGCGAAGGUGGCCUGUGAGGGUUGCUGGAGGUAUCAGAAGUGCGAAUGCUGACAUAAGUAACGAUAAAGCGGGUGAAAAGCCCGCUCGCCGGAAGACCAAGGGUUCCUGUCCAACGUUAAUCGGGGCAGGGUGAGUCGACCCCUAAGGCGAGGCCGAAAGGCGUAGUCGAUGGGAAACGGGUUAAUAUUCCCGUACUUGGUGUUACUGCGAAGGGGGGACGGAGAAGGCUAUGUUGGCCGGGCGACGGUUGUCCCGGUUUAAGCGUGUAGGUGUGUGUUCCAGGUAAAUCCGGUUCACUUUAACACUGAGGCGUGAUGACGAGGCACUACGGUGCUGAAGCAACAAAUGCCCUGCUUCCAGGAAAAGCCUCUAAGCAUCAGGUAACAUCAAAUCGUACCCCAAACCGACACAGGUGGUCAGGUAGAGAAUACCAAGGCGCUUGAGAGAACUCGGGUGAAGGAACUAGGCAAAAUGGUGCCGUAACUUCGGGAGAAGGCACGCUGACACGUAGGUGAAGUGAUUUACUCAUGGAGCUGAAGUCAGUCGAAGAUACCAGCUGGCUGCAACUGUUUAUUAAAAACACAGCACUGUGCAAACACGAAAGUGGACGUAUACGGUGUGACGCCUGCCCGGUGCCGGAAGGUUAAUUGAUGGGGUCAGCGCAAGCGAAGCUCCUGAUCGAAGCCCCGGUAAACGGCGGCCGUAACUAUAACGGUCCUAAGGUAGCGAAAUUCCUUGUCGGGUAAGUUCCGACCUGCACGAAUGGCGUAAUGAUGGCCAGGCUGUCUCCACCCGAGACUCAGUGAAAUUGAACUCGCUGUGAAGAUGCAGUGUACCCGCGGCAAGACGGAAAGACCCCGUGAACCUUUACUAUAGCUUGACACUGAACAUUGAGCCUUGAUGUGUAGGAUAGGUGGGAGGCUUUGAAGUGUGGACGCCAGUCUGCAUGGAGCCGGCCUUGAAAUACCACCCUUUAAUGUUUGAUGUUCUAACGUGGACCCGUGAUCCGGGUUGCGGACAGUGUCUGGUGGGUAGUUUGACUGGGGCGGUCUCCUCCUAAAGAGUAACGGAGGAGCACGAAGGUUGGCUAAUCCUGGUCGGACAUCAGGAGGUUAGUGCAAUGGCAUAAGCCAGCUUGACUGCGAGCGUGACGGCGCGAGCAGGUGCGAAAGCAGGUCAUAGUGAUCCGGUGGUUCUGAAUGGAAGGGCCAUCGCUCAACGGAUAAAAGGUACUCCGGGGAUAACAGGCUGAUACCGCCCAAGAGUUCAUAUCGACGGCGGUGUUUGGCACCUCGAUGUCGGCUCAUCACAUCCUGGGGCUGAAGUAGGUCCCAAGGGUAUGGCUGUUCGCCAUUUAAAGUGGUACGCGAGCUGGGUUUAGAACGUCGUGAGACAGUUCGGUCCCUAUCUGCCGUGGGCGCUGGAGAACUGAGGGGGGCUGCUCCUAGUACGAGAGGACCGGAGUGGACGCAUCACUGGUGUUCGGGUUGUCAUGCCAAUGGCACUGCCCGGUAGCUAAAUGCGGAAGAGAUAAGUGCUGAAAGCAUCUAAGCACGAAACUUGCCCCGAGAUGAGUUCUCCCUGAGACUUAGAGUCUCCUGAAGGAACGUUGAAGACGACGACGUUGAUAGGCCGGGUGUGUAAGCGCAGCGAUGCGUUGAGCUAACCGGUACUAAUGAACCGUGAGGCUUAACCUU